ACAUGCAGUCGAGCGAACAGAAGGGAGCUUGCUCCCGGAUGUUAGCGGCGGACGGGUGAGUAACACGUGGGUAACCUGCCUGUAAGACUGGGAUAACUCCGGGAAACCGGAGCUAAUACCGGAUAGUUCCUUGAACCGCAUGGUUCAAGGAUGAAAGACGGUUUCGGCUGUCACUUACAGAUGGACCCGCGGCGCAUUAGCUAGUUGGUGGGGUAAUGGCUCACCAAGGCGACGAUGCGUAGCCGACCUGAGAGGGUGAUCGGCCACACUGGGACUGAGACACGGCCCAGACUCCUACGGGAGGCAGCAGUAGGGAAUCUUCCGCAAUGGACGAAAGUCUGACGGAGCAACGCCGCGUGAGUGAUGAAGGUUUUCGGAUCGUAAAGCUCUGUUGUUAGGGAAGAACAAGUGCGAGAGUAACUGCUCGCACCUUGACGGUACCUAACCAGAAAGCCACGGCUAACUACGUGCCAGCAGCCGCGGUAAUACGUAGGUGGCAAGCGUUGUCCGGAAUUAUUGGGCGUAAAGGGCUCGCAGGCGGUUUCUUAAGUCUGAUGUGAAAGCCCCCGGCUCAACCGGGGAGGGUCAUUGGAAACUGGGAAACUUGAGUGCAGAAGAGGAGAGUGGAAUUCCACGUGUAGCGGUGAAAUGCGUAGAGAUGUGGAGGAACACCAGUGGCGAAGGCGACUCUCUGGUCUGUAACUGACGCUGAGGAGCGAAAGCGUGGGGAGCGAACAGGAUUAGAUACCCUGGUAGUCCACGCCGUAAACGAUGAGUGCUAAGUGUUAGGGGGUUUCCGCCCCUUAGUGCUGCAGCUAACGCAUUAAGCACUCCGCCUGGGGAGUACGGUCGCAAGACUGAAACUC
rnacentral:rRNA from 1 species